UGUUUUUCUUUUCUCUUUGGCACCAACACCAAUAUUUUAUCACUUUAUUGUUGAAUGCGAAGAAAAGUAUUGGCGAUGGCUUCACGAGGGCUGCUAUCGAGGGCGAGUAGGAUGAAGACGAGGCUACAAUCGGCACUUGAAGCCACCUUAAUUGAAGUGGAAGACGUCUCUUACCAGCAUGCGGGUCAUGCCGCCGUAAAGGAAAGCGGCACUAACGAGACCCAUUUCAAUGUCAAAAUUGUCUCCAGCAAAUUUGAUGGACAGAAUCUCGUUAAACGACAUCGUAUGGUGUACGAACUCUUGUCAGAUGAGCUCCAAUCUGGGUUGCACGCUCUCUCUAUUAUCGCCAAGACGCCCAAAGAAGCUGGCAUGUGAAGAAUACUGCUGCUCCGGUUGUAUCCGCCGAAAGCUAUUCUAGGGGCGGGGGUGAUGUUCAGGAGUUCAAACAACAGCUGUCAGCAAUGCAGUUUAUCAAGUAUUUGUCACUUAAGUAGAAUCUUCCUGAAUUUACAAUUUGUACGCUCAAGUAUUGCUGCUAACUCCAAUAAUAAAGAAAUUUGAAAGGCUAAACUGAGAGUAAGAGGUUGGUUGCUGUUUCAGCCCCCAUCUUUUUUAAUUUUUAUAACUGCUUGCUUCGAAAACAAGGUGAAAGUUUUAGGUCAACAUUAUAUUUCAGGAUCUCAUUCUGAGAAUGUGUUCCUAAAGUGAGAGAUUUACAUAAAAUUUUAACUUUGAUUCUCUCGA